UUAUCUCUCUCAAACCCAAAUUUUCUCCUCAUAUUACACUUACCCUCUUAGUUAGGGCUUAGAAACUAUGAACCAUUUCUGUCUCUCCCCUCUUCUCUGUCAUGUUGCCAAAAUUUUUUUAUUCAAAGCCCAUUUAAAUCAUGUCUCCUUCUACUUUGUCACAAAGGAGGGCUUUUUUUUUUUGAAAAUGGAGGAAAAGCAAUGGCGGAAUAGAGAUUGAAAAUGCAGGAAAAUUAAUGGCGGAACUGAAAUUGAAAUGGAGGAAAUCAAUCGCAGAACAGAGAUUGAAAAUGGAGGAAAAUCAAUGGCGGGGCAGAUAUUGAAAAUGGAGAAAAAUCAAUGGCGGAAUGAUGGUUGGUUUUCACUUCUGAAUUUCAAACUUUAACGGGAAAGAGCCUGUAGGUUUGCAUUUAAGAAAAUAACCUUUCAAUUGAGAUUCAAAUAUAUAGUAUUGAACAUAACGCAAGGGAUUGGAGACAGAAGAAAAAAUUAUCAUCACAGCCUCAAAUUUUUGCAUUCGGAAUAAUAAUUAUAUUUGUGUUUGAAAUCAAUCCUAUUUGAGAACAGUUGAUUGGGAUGCAAUCAAGAUGAAAUUGUAAAUAUUUACUUGGAAGAAGAAUAAGAAGAAGAUACAGAGGGAACAAAAAGGGAACAGGGAUGUUUUGCGUGUGGGUGUUGUGGUAGGGGGAGAGGUGGUAGGGUCACGAAGAAAAAAGAUGUAAUGGGGUGGGUAAGGGAAUAACAGAAAGAGGCAUACCUCUUUUGCUUUUUUUUACUUAUUUUAUUUUCAUUCUUAUUUAAUUGAUUUUUUCUUCUUGUUUUAAUAAUUUAUGGUUCAAAAUAUUUAUAUUCAUACUUAUUAUCCGCUGAAUUACACUCACUUUAUCCAGCUUAACCAUUAUGUUACCACAUGUGCUUGCUAAAUGGUCAGACAGGUUUAAAUAAUAGGCUUUGAUCAAAUUAAAGUGUCUAGAUGAAAACAAGUGAAGUAGGAGGACUGUCGUGAGAAAGUGGGACAAGUAUAAGUGUCAUUUAAGCUUU
rnacentral:lncRNA from 1 species